rnacentral:rRNA from 1 species
UGGGGAAUUUUGGACAAUGGGGGGAACCCUGAUCCAGCCAUGCCGCGUGUCUGAAGAAGGCCUUCGGGUUGUAAAGGACUUUUGUUCGGGAGCAAAAGGGGUGGGUUAAUACCCCACUUUGAUGAGAGUACCGAAAGAAUAAGCACCGGCUAACUACGUGCCAGCAGCCGCGGUAAUACGUAGGGUGCGAGCGUUAAUCGGAAUUACUGGGCGUAAAGGGUGCGCAGGCGGUUGAAUAAGUUUGAUGUGAAAUCCCCGGGCUUAACCUGGGAAUGGCAUUGAAUACUGUUUAACUAGAGUGUGUCAGAGGGGGGUAGAAUUCCACGUGUAGCAGUGAAAUGCGUAGAGAUGUGGAGGAAUACCGAUGGCGAAGGCAGCCCCCUGGGAUGACACUGACGCU